rnacentral:lncRNA from 1 species
UUUGACCUGAGGCAUCACAGUUGUCUUGUGGUUAAGUCCUUGAUCUUUGAUUAUGUCAAAGUCACCCCAUCCGCGAGUGUCCACGGCAUCGUUGGGGUUAAGCCACUUAGCCAUGGAGGCAAGUGAAUGCGCAACAAGGGAUCUCUAACCUUCAAACCAUUUGGGGGAGAAUACUCUAUGAUAUGAUUUAGAAUCUCUGGCCAGAGUAUGAAUGAGAUUUAGGAAAG